rnacentral:lncRNA from 1 species
AUGGGUUAAGUUUGAAGAUGCCAGAAUAGGUGCUAAUAAUAGAAAAAAAUAUUCACACUUGUACGGAAAAGAUGUUGAAAAAACAUGGACUCCAAUGUUUGACAUUAAAAGAUCAUUUACUUAUAAAUAUAAGACAUUUGAAAGAAUUCAGUUUCCUCUUCGCCCAGCAGCCGGAUAAACAAUUCAUAAAUCGCAAGGAGAUACAUUACACGAGGUUGUUGUUAGUCUGAAAUCAAAACGUAAAGGGAAAAUACCACAUAUUGACUAUGUUGC